GGCCAUGUUCUGCCGCAUCCCGGGCCAAUAGACAUAGCGAUGAAGAUUCACCACUAUCUUGUUUACUCCGAAGUGGCCUGCUAUCUUCGAAAUAUUAGCUUCCCGCAUCCACUUCACCCAAUCUACAGCUUUUGAUAGACACAGCUGUGCACCUUUGUAGAGGAGCCCACCUCAUAAGGCAAACUCCGUGGACCUUCUUACCUUGACGUCCUC
rnacentral:lncRNA from 1 species